rnacentral:lncRNA from 1 species
CGCUGUUAGAGGGCAAAUGUAGAUCUUAAUAAUGGGGACAUACCAAGGUUCUUAAAUGUGGAAAACAGUGAAAAUUUUGAAAAAAAGUGAAAGGAUAAAAAGUUCUACCAUGAGAGGAGGGUUUUGGUUAAUGAUUUUCUAGGAAGUUUAUUAGAAAGGAUUGUCUACCACUGUCGUCAGGGUAAAGUUGUUGGAACUCCUUAUGCAGCUUAUCCUACCUUAGUGAGUGAUUUCUUCGCCAACUUUAAUGCUGAAAUUGACACCCCAGAGUCAUCAUGCAUGAAUCGAACAGAUAUUAUGAGCUAAUCUCACUGAUACAAAGCCACUAACUAUUGAGCCAGAUAUGGCAUUGGUUGCUCGAUUUUUAUACAGUAGAGGAGACACAUGGCUACAUCUUAUGGAUUGGCUCAUGAAUAAUCAGUUGACCUCUAAGUUGAGACUCCUUCAUAUCUUUAUCUCUACCAACAUCCAUCCUACAACCCAGUGGAGUAGGUCUAAUGAAUAAAGGAUACAACUACUUUAUCAUCUCGUAAAGGGUCGCAAAAUUGAUUUGGGUUCCAACAUCUUCACUUUCAUAUGAGAGUUGGCCGCAUCGAUCAAAUCUCAAUGUAGUACCAUGUUUCCAUGCCUUAUUAGUAGGAUCUGUUUGAAUGUCGAGCUCUCACUUCUAUCAAAUGAAUAAAUUUCUCCUCCAGAUAUCCCAAUCAGCAAAAAGAAUAGAAAAUUCUGAAGCUCACCUUAGAGGAGAAGAGAGAGUACAUAACCUCAAGUAAGCUCAUUCCCUACAAUAACAUACUUUAGUUGCCGACCCAGCCCUCUUGAGCAGAUAGAUUGCUUAGAUGCAGGUCACCCAAAUAGAGUUAGAUAGAUCUAUUGGCACCAUGAAAAAUGCUUUGGAGACGAUGUAGUGGACGCAACUGGACAUGCUGAGGGAUUUGCAAAGAGUGAGUGUACAAGUACAAGGAUUCUAGCUAAGUGAUGACCGGAUGCGCCAUAAUCAAAGAACCAUCACAUACGCUUAUAAUCAAGUGCAUGAGCAGAUGUUGCAUUUUGGGAGUCAACUGGAGAUGGAUGAUCUGAACGUAUGCCAGAUAGCAAGAACAGUCGAAUCCUGCAUAGCUACUAGUUCAUCCAGCCAAACCAGCCUGAGUCCUCCACUCAUCCACAUCCAUCCCAGAGAGUAUCUGAUACUUUACUCAUUUAUUUAAUGAUUGAUUUUGCUUUUACAUUGGGGACAACGUAAUAUUUUCUUUGGGAUGGAGUAGGUCUCAUGAUACUUAUGCUAAUUAUACUUAAUCCUUCAACUUAUGAUCAAG